GGCGGUCGCUCCUCCAAAGUCUCAACGUCUGUACGACUGUAUCCGAUGCAGACAGUUAUCCGCUUGAACUGGUCUCAUAACUGAAGCGUGUGCGUGUCGUUGGAAGUAAAGCUUUCUUCACCUAAUUUUCACGUUCACCUGUUCGACGAAAGUCGUCAUUGUUUUAAUUCUAUUGCUUUUCGCAACACAUUCCUGGUUUUCAAAGCCGUUUCUGAUGGUUCCGGAGUAUAGCAAACAUCGCGGGGAAACAUAUUGGUUUUGAAGCUUUUGAUGGCUUUGAAGUCUGUGAUUGUGUUGGAGAGCACAAAUCCUCAUUUUGGUUGGAAUGAUUCGGGGUCUAAGCCAUCUGGGUUUCCAUUGAAUUGGAUAAAUGGACCGGAGAAAGUGUGCAAAUCGAUAAGUUUUGGUGGCUUUUCGGGUUUCUUAGCUUGUCGGGCCAUACGGAACGUGGAAGACGGCAACUCGUCCAAGCGGAGCACGAAGUUGCAAAGAGUAAUUGAUGAGACGAAGAGCGAGGUUUCCAAGAGAUUGCAAAAGGAUUCGAGCUCCUUUCCAAAACCAUUAUCUGUAUCUGAUCUUUCUAGUACUGCUGAUGAUGGUUCGAAGGUACGAAUAUCAUUCAAGGGGUGUCCAGGUUCAUACACUGAGGAUGCCGCAUUCAAAGCCUACCCUAAAUGUGAAACCGUUCCUUGUAAUGAGUUUGAAGACGCUUUUAAGGCUGUUGAACUAUGGCUGACUGAUAAAGCAGUCCUUCCAAUUGAGAACUCUUCAAGUGGAAGUAUCCACCGCAAUUAUGAUUUACUACUUCGUCAUAGGCUUCAUAUUGUAGGUGAGGUGCAGUUGGCUGUUAAUUUUUGCCUUCUAGCCCUGCCAGGCGUCAGAUCAGAGCACUUGAAACGUGUUAUAAGCCAUCCACAGGCACUUUCGUUAAGUGAUAGUCUCCUGAGUAAGUUAGGUGUUUCCAGGGAAAACGUUGAUGAUACAGCUGUGGCUGCUCAGUAUGUAGCCUCAAAUGGCCUAAGGGAUGCUGGUGUUGUCGCAAGUGCUCGAGCUGCAGAAAUCUAUGGGCUUAACAUACUAGCAGAUGGAAUCCAGGAUGACUCUGAUAACAUUACUCGUUUUCUGGUACUUGCAAGGGAUCCAAUAAUUCCAAGAACUAAUAAGCAGUUUAAAACAAGCAUUGUAUUUACCUUGGAUGAAGGCCCUGGAGUUUUAUUUAAAGCCUUAGCAGUAUUUGCUCUGAGGGGCAUAAAUUUGACAAAGAUUGAAAGUCGACCACAGAGAAAGCGGCCAUUAAGAGUAGUUGAUGACUCUAACACGGGAAGUGCCAAAUAUUUUGACUACCUUUUCUAUAUUGAUUUUGAGGCUUCUAUGGCAGAGCCCCGUGCACAAAAUGCUUUAGGACAUCUGCAGGAAUUUGCAACAUUCCUUCGCAUACUUGGUUGCUAUCCCAUGGAUACCACUUUGUAGUCCCUGUAUUCUUUGCAAUCUUCUUGUGAAUGGUCUUCUGAGAUCUCUGAGUAGAUAAGAAGGCUGCUUCACUACCAGUGAUUACAUAGUUGAAAGCUAGUGGACAACUUGGUUUUGGAUUCUGAAAGGGAGCAGCAAGAUCAGUAGUGAUGCUGAUGGCAUGGUGAUGGAGUCCGAAUGAUUAUGGUGGAGCAGUGGUGGUAAAUGGUGUUGGUGGUCUUACGUACUGGCCUACUUGAUAAAUAUUGGAGAUGGUGAAAGUACCAUCUAUAAGGCGAUAUGGCAUUGCUUAAAAAAAUGGUGAUACAACAUUGUAUGCAACCUUCUUUUUGGGUAUGGGGAGCUUUGUCUAUAGGCAAGGCUUAAGGUUUUAUAGCCAUACCUUUCAAAAUACUGUCAGUGGCCAUGUAGGAAAUGGUGGCAACAGCCGCAACAUGACAAAAUUGUGUAACCAGCCUAGUUGUCGUCUACCUUUGUUAGGAUUAACCAGUUAUUAGCGGCUAAUUUAAAGUAUAAAAGUAGAAGCAAACAAAAGAAAAUAAUGACAAUCACACACAGAAUACCAAGUUUUAAGUAGUUCAACUCAGAUUAAGCCUACAUCCACUGGUAGGGUUGGUGUCAAUGAACUCGCUAUCAAAACAAAGGUGGAUUACAAGAGAUCUCACAAAAUACUCAAUCCCAGAGUCUCAAUACACCCAAUGAACUCUCAAAAAUCUCACAAAAGGGCUUUACUCUAUGUCUCUGUGUGUGUGUGUGUGUGCGCGUGUAUUAUAGCUGCUCAAAAGUACAAUACAUUGAAAUCAAGCAUGUAUUUAUACUAAAAUGGUGCAAAAAACCUAAUUAUGAGCAUUCGUUCGAACAGAGUGUCAAGGGAACAUUAGGUCUAGUACUCGCUCAAAUUGAGUAUUGAGCAAGUGUUGAGUGAACUCUCUAUCAGGAUCUCGCUUGAGCUGACUGUCUAGCGAUAGUUGAGUGAACAAUCUGUAAGGGUCCCGCUCAAGCUGACUGUCGAUCUAACAAUUUGUCUAAAGCUUUGCUCGAGCGAAUAAUCUAGAAAUGUGCUUUUUCAACAAGAAUUAAGCCACCUCUUAACAAUCUUAGUCAACUAGAUACAAAAGUUCAAAGUUCUACAUCAUCCAUGUCAACAAGAGGCCUAAGAACUCGUGGAAUCUCAUAAGAGAGAGUCAAUCAUCUUUGGUUCCACUUGCUAAUAGUGAAGAUUGUAUCAUUAAUGUAUAGCAUACACAAUGACCUAUGAAGACACAACUCAAAUCUAGAUGGACGUUUUUAAUAGGGUUCACAUUGCACAAGUGUCCAAUGUCAUAUUAGACUUCAAACUCGACUCUAAUAUCAUUUGAAACGACACACAGAAAGAAUAAAUUGAAUCUAGAUUUACAUUUCAAAAUGACUAAUCAAAAUUAUAAUUGGAGCUCAUUAAAGUCAUUAUAAAAUUCAAUUCCACAUUGUAAGAAACCAAUGCGUGUACAUAGGAGUUGACAUUUAUGUUCUUCUAUCAUGUUAACUUACUUCUACAAUACUUCUCUCGCCCACUCUGAUACUAAAUGUAGCAUUACAAUAUUCGAUGAGUCUAACAAUCAAAAUAAAUAAAUAAAGGCAACUCUCUUAGCAAGUACUUACUAAAUUAUACAGGUGAGGUCAUGUAUAUGGAUUUAUCAAGAUCAUCUAUCAAACGUAAAGUGGUAUAUAUUUUCCCAGUGAUUCAACUAAAUCAAGAUAUGCCAAAAACAAAUUAUCAUAGGAUGAGUUUAAAUGUCUAAUUAUUAUGCUUUCAUUCCUACGGCUUUUCACAGCUAUUGAUCAAUGAAUCUUAACAUGUUGGAUGAUAUAAAAACUUAAUUCUGGAAUGAGGACUUGAACUCCUCCUACUCCAGUACUCAAAAGAUCAUAUUAUUGAAAUUAGAUAAACUACUUGAUCUAUUGAAUUGAGAACAAAAGCUGGCUAGAGAGAAGUCAGAGCUUCUCUUUCUAGGCGGCGUUUUCUAAUUUCUCACUGCACAAUCUGCUGCUUUGAAGCAGUUGUCUGGUUUAUCAAGGCAUACAGCAUCCGAACUCUACCUGCUUCCUUAAGUUUCAACUGCACAUUCUGCAGCAACAAAUUCAGAAUUUCACCGCACAUUUAGUCUGGCAGAGGAACUCUGUUACUGAAGAAAGCGAAUCUCACAACUAUCACACAAUGGAUUCGGAGUCCCUAAUCUCACAAACGGAAGCACUAUCAUGGCAAGAGCUCAGCUUGCAGACAACCCCAGAGGCCGCAAAAUCGACAUCAGAAAAAAUACUAAUCGGAAGGUUAGUAGCAGACAGACCCCUUAACAAAUUUGCUAUCCACCUUUGCAUCAAAGCCUCAUGGAAAUUCAUCCAAAAUUUCUUAAUAGAUGAUAUGGAUGUCAAUAAAUUCAUAUCCACAUUUAGAAAUUCAUAAGACAAACUUAGGGUGCUAAACCAAGGGGACCUUGGAAUUUCAAAUGAGAUCUGAUGAUUUUAAAACAAUAGGCCCCUGGUGCAACCAUAGAGGAAAUCAACUUAAACCGUGCCACUUUCAACGUACAAUUGCAUGGUUUACCUUUAGACCAUUUCAACAUGAAAAAUGCAGUGGACAUCGGAAAAGCAAUUAGCAACCUUAUCAGAGUAGAAGAAGAUCCAAUCUACGGUCUAGCCUUCUGCAAAUUUAUUCGUAUAAAGGUUGAGGUAGAUGUCACAAAACCACUAAAAAAAGGUUUUCCAUUGCCUAGAUUCGGGAACAAAGUUGUUUGGAUAACAUUCAAAUAUGAGAAAUUAGCAGACUUCUGUUAUGCUUGUGGAAGGCUCAGCCACUCUCAAAUCUUUUGUGGAUAACCCCAGUUAACUCCAACCAAGAUCAAAUUUGGUCCAUCUAUAAGAGCGGAAUACAGGCCCCCUCAAGGCACCUCUCAGCCUUUCAUCAAACAGAGGAGAGGCUUGAAAGCGAUUUUGGGCAUAUGGAAAUGGAGGAUCACUUGAACAAACAUUACAACAAGCCAAGAACAGACACGGAAAUUGAAGCCUGGAAAAAUCAUGAGGAAGAGAGCUUUCAAGCAAGACAAAGUCAAACAGUAUCAUCUUAAAAGCAAAGCCUUCAAUCUUACGCUUGUGAUGAAGAAGAAGUUCCGAUUGAUUUAAUUCCAUAACUGAUCAACUUCUUUCCAUCUUCCUCAAGUGCCAUCAAAAUCGGCGUGAAAAGCAUGAACUCGUCCGCUGAAGCUUUGAAGGAACAGUUUAACUACAGUGAUCAAGCUUCAUUCAUUACC